UCUUCCCUCUGGCGGCGUGCCUAAUACAUGCAAGUCGAGCGAACGGACGAGAAGCUUGCUUCUCUGAUGUUAGCGGCGGACGGGUGAGUAACACGUGGAUAACCUACCUAUAAGACUGGGAUAACUUCUGGAAACCGGAGCUAAUACCGGAUAAUAUUUUGAACCGCAUGGUUCAAAAGUAAAAGACGGUCUUGCUGUCACUUAUAGAUUGAUCCGCGCUGCAUUAGCUAGUUGGUAAGGUAACGGCUUACCAAGGCAACGAUGCAUAGCCGACCUGAGAGGGUGAUCGGCCACACUGGAACUGAGACACGGUCCAGACUCCUACGGGAGGAAGCAGUAGGGAAUCUUCCGCAAUGGGCGAAAGCCUGACGGAGCAACGCCGCGUGAGUGAUGAAGGUCUUCGGAUCGUAAAACUCUGUUAUUAGGGAAGAACAUAUGUGUAAGUAACUGUGCACAUCUUGACGGUACCUAAUCAGAAAGCCACGGCUAACUACGUG
rnacentral:rRNA from 1 species